GGAAAAUCUUUAUUUGAUGGAAACUGAAAAACAUUAUUUCAUUAAAGCAAUCAGAUUUAUAACAGAGCAGAAUAUCAAAUUUACAAAAGAAUUAAAGCUAACAUAUGAGUUCUUAAAAAAAGAAAAAUAUCUUACAGUCAGCAAAAACUUCUGGUUAAGUGCAGAGCCUUCUGACACCCAGGGCCCUGGGGCGGAUUGCGGUGAGAGCACACUGAUGGCUCUUUUCAGCUCGAAAGCCUGAAGAGUCCACAAAGAAAGCAUAAGCCUUGUCCAGAGGCAGUAAAGAAAGUCUUCAUUUCAUUAAAGAACAACCCAUCCCAGAGAGCCUAACAGGCAUUAGCAGCCCUUUUAUUAAACGGAGGUCUGGGUUUCCAUCCAAGGGAGAAGCUCUUCCAGGCUAAGGGUGAACACUACCUCCCUGCACUCAGGCUCCUCUCCAGUCCCGGUACGUGGACUGCAGGGUCCUCUGCUCCCAGCUGUACCUCCUCACAAGCAGCACCUCCAGGAGGCUGGAGCGCCCUGGCAGGGCCUGGGGGAUGCUGUGGCCACCUGCCCCUGGGCAUUCCUUCAGGUUGUGGCUCUCAGCUCAAGCAGCACUAUGUGGGCAAUCGGCCACAGGCUGCUGAAGUAUGCGCGGGGAGAGUUCUAUCAGAGGGGAGGGAGAGGGAAAUUGCAACCACCACAACCCACCAAACCUCAAAGCUGAUGGUUGGCAUUGGCGUAGGGAGAGUGAUGGGGAAAACAGGAAAGGUAAGAGAGGUUCUGGCAGGAAGUGAGGAAUUAAGGAAAGGUGUGGAGAAUAGGCCCAGCCCUCUGGAACCCCAGCAGAUCCACUGGGAAGAGGAUGAAGGAGACCCACACCUGCAGGGGUGCCAUCUCCGGAGGAAGUCUCCAAGGGGAAGUGUCAAAGCUGCCCUGUCCUGGACCACUGCCUGGAGCUGUGAGGCCUGGGAGCGCCCACAAGGCCAUGCUCCAAACUCAUCCUCUUAUAUUUAUAUUUAUCUUUUCAUUUUGUACUUCAGUCUGUG
rnacentral:lncRNA from 1 species